AAGUCGUAACAAGGUUUCCGUAGGUGAACCUGCGGAAGGAUCAUUAACACGUAUCCAAACGUUAACCCCCUGUGAACCUUCAAUGUGCUCGUACACUUUGUCAAAGCGAGGCAAUCCCUGGUAAAUCAUCGCCGAACAGUUUUGAUUCUGGGACUUCCUCAAAGAGUGUGCAUGUUGCGCGAGGCAAGUGGCCUGGCAUUCCCAAGCAGUUAAUGUCUGAAAGUGUCAUUUGCUGUGUAAGGAUGACGCAGUAACGAUCGUUGGAGGAUCACCACUUGAUGCAUGACAGACGCGCCAGCGCUUAAUUGUGCGGCGACCAAAAACCGAACAACUGUUAACAAUGGAUAUCUUGGUUCUC
rnacentral:misc_RNA from 1 species